UCGAUUAGCCAUGCGAGUUAAUGUUCUUCGUGAACAUAGCAGACUGCUCAGUAACACGUGGAUAACCUGCCCUUAGGACUGGCAUAACCCCGGGAAACUGGGGAUAAGUCCGGAUAGAUCAUAAAUGCUGGAAUGCUUUAUGAUUGAAAGGUUUCGACCGCCUUAGGAUGGAUCUGCGGCCUAUCAGGUUGUAGUGGGUGUAAUGUACCUACUAGCCUACGACGGGUACGGGUUGUGGAAGCAAGAGCCCGGAGAUGGAUUCUGAGACAUGAAUCCAGGCCCUACGGGGCGCAGCAGGCGCGAAAACUUUACAAUGCGGGAAACCGUGAUAAGGGAACACUGAGUGCUAGCAUUUAUGUUAGCUGUCCACAUGUGUAAAUAGCAUGUGAUAGCAAGGGCUGGGCAAGACCGGUGCCAGCCGCCGCGGUAACACCGGCAGCCCGAGUGGUGAUCACUAUUAUUGGGUCUAAAGGGUCCGUAGCCGGUUUAAUCAGUCUUCUGGGAAAUCUAAUCGCUUAACUAUUAGGCUUCCAGGGGAUACUGUUAGACUUGGGACCGGGAGAGGUAAGAGGUACUGCAGGGGUAGGAGUGAAAUCUUGUAAUCCCUGUGAGACCACCAGUGGCGAAGGCGUCUUACCAGAACGGGUCCGACGGUGAGGGACGAAAGCUGGGGGCACGAACCGGAUUAGAUACCCGGGUAGUCCCAGCUG
rnacentral:rRNA from 1 species